rnacentral:rRNA from 1 species
AGAGUUUGAUCCUGGCUCAGGAUGAACGCUGGCGGCGUGCUUAACACAUGCAAGUCGAACGAACCUUCGGGUUAGUGGCGGACGGGUGAGUAACGCGUGGGAAUCUGCCCCCAGGAGGGGGAUAACGGUUGGAAACGGCCGCUAAUACCCCAUAUGCCGAGAGGUGAAAUGAAUUUCGCCUGAGGAUGAGCCCGCGUCUGAUUAGCUAGUUGGUGAGGUAAUGGCUCACCAAGGCUUCGAUCAGUAGCUGGUCUGAGAGGAUGAUCAGCCACACUGGGACUGAGACACGGCCCAGACUCCUACGGGAGGCAGCAGUGGGGAAUUUUCCGCAAUGGGCGAAAGCCUGACGGAGCAACGCCGCGUGAGGGAUGAAGGCCUCUGGGCUGUAAACCUCUUUUCUCAAGGAAGAAGAUCUGACGGUACUUGAGGAAUAAGCCACGGCUAAUUCCGUGCCAGCAGCCGCGGUAAUACGGGAGUGGCAAGCGUUAUCCGGAAUUAUUGGGCGUAAAGCGUCCGCAGGCGGCCCUACAAGUCUGCUGUUAAAAAGUGGAGCUUAACUCCAUCAUGGCAGUGGAAACUGUUGGGCUUGAGUGUGGUAGGGGCAGAGGGAAUUCCCGGUGUAGCGGUGAAAUGCGUAGAUAUCGGGAAGAACACCAGUGGCGAAGGCGCUCUGCUGGGCCAUAACUGACGCUCAUGGACGAAAGCCAGGGGAGCGAAAGGGAUUAGAUACCCCUGUAGUCCUGGCCGUAAACGAUGAACACUAGGUGUCGGGGGAAUCGACCCCCUCGGUGUCGUAGCCAACGCGUUAAGUGUUCCGCCUGGGGAGUACGCACGCAAGUGUGAAACUCAAAGGAAUUGACGGGGGCCCGCACAAGCGGUGGAGUAUGUGGUUUAAUUCGAUGCAACGCGAAGAACCUUACCAGGGUUUGACAUCCUGCGAAUCUCUUGGAAACGAGAGAGUGCCUUCGGGAACGCAGUGACAGGUGGUGCAUGGCUGUCGUCAGCUCGUGUCGUGAGAUGUUGGGUUAAGUCCCGCAACGAGCGCAACCCACGUCUUUAGUUGCCAGCAUUUAGUUGGGCACUCUAGAGAGACCGCCGGUGAUAAACCGGAGGAAGGUGUGGAUGACGUCAAGUCAUCAUGCCCCUUACAUCCUGGGCUACACACGUACUACAAUGCUACGGACAAAGGGCAGCAAGUUCGCGAGGACAAGCAAAUCCCAUAAACCGUGGCUCAGUUCAGAUCGUAGGCUGCAACUCGCCUACGUGAAGGAGGAAUCGCUAGUAAUCGCAGGUCAGCAUACUGCGGUGAAUACGUUCCCGGGCCUUGUACACACCGCCCGUCACACCAUGGAAGUUGGCCACGCCCGAAGCCGUUACUCCAACCCUUGUGGAGGAGGACGUCGAAGGUGGGGCUGAUGACUGGGGUGAAGUCGUAACAAGGUAACC